rnacentral:rRNA from 1 species
UACGAAGGGUGCAAGCGUUACUCGGAAUUACUGGGCGUAAAGCGUGCGUAGGUGGUUUGUUAAGUCUGAUGUGAAAGCCCUGGGCUCAACCUGGGAAUUGCAUUGGAUACUGGCAGGCUAGAGUGCGGUAGAGGGUAGUGGAAUUCCCGGUGUAGCAGUGAAAUGCGUAGAUAUCGGAAGGAACACCAGUGGCGAAAGCGGCUUCCUGGUCCAGCACCGACGUUCAGGCACGAAAGCGUGGGGAGCAAACAGGGAUUAGA